UACUGGGACCUACUGGUGUGGAGUAGAAACCAGCAGGACAGAACAACGUUACAUUACACUGAUCACACAGGUGAAGCUGCUUGUUAGAAAUUGGAGGGAUGUCAAACCAAUCAAUGUGAAUGAGCAGGUUGGGGAGACUGCCAGGCUUACUUGUAAAUAUCCAGCAGGCCACAAGAAGAAUGAGAAGUUCUUCUGUAAGGGGGACAGUCCUUUAACCUGUGAAAAUAAAGUUACAGCUACACAACCUAACAUCAUUAAAUGGAAUGAGAGGUUUUCUCUGAGGGACAACCGUGAGAAGACCAACUUCACUGUUCACAUCAAGAAGAUGAGACCAGAGGAUUCUGGGACAUAUUGGUGUGGAUCUGAUAGAAGAUGGAGACCUGCAGACUACACUAGAUUUAUAUUUUCUGUGGUGGCACCAACCACCAUCAUCACAAAAUCAACAACUGCAGCACUUCCAGCCACAACCACCUUCAUCUCACAAUCAUCAUCAUCACCAUCACCAUCACCAUCACCAUCACCA